GCCCUUUUCAGGGCCGCCCACCUGGUCUCAUGAAGGACUGUGAGCAACCACCGAGCCUCAAGCACGAACUUUCACUUUCCCAGAAGGUUCCCCUGACCUGGCACCCCGCGUCCUGUAGAGGGCGCCUGACUUAACUCACCGCCCUGCAGGAAACACCAACAAAGCCGGGGUGAAGAGGCAGGAAAACGCAAAAAUAGCUGCAAAAGGACACCUAAUGGUCGCCCGAGUGCAUUCCUGAGGUCGUGAACCCUAGUAUGGCGUAGGUCAUUGCUCAUCUUGCUUUAUUUCCAACAUUUUGACCAUUAAACGCUCCUUACCGUGUUGUCAACCUACCGCCUUCCCAUCUGCAACCGCCCCCAGCCAAGGACCCUGGAGGGUAGAGGUAAAACCUGAUGUCCCUGCAAAGGCCACGGAACAUCUAAGAAAAGCCUCGCCACAACCACAGAAGGGAGCACAGAGAGCCCGGUGCCCUGUGCCCUGUGCCCUGGGGUCUUUGCGGAAGAGGACAGGUGCUCCCUGGGGCCAGACCCCCUGGCCUCACACCUCAGCUCCACGGUGGGCACAGACACGUCAUACACCUGGGGCCUCAGUGCCAACGCUUACAUGGAGGUCAUAACGCUGAUGUCUCUCCGGGCUCCUUUGAGUAUUAAAUGAGCCUAAUGCAUGCACAUUCGUACCUUAGAACUGGCUCCUCUCUGUCUCUUUUAUUCAAGUAGCACAGACAGAAGAGGAGACGGAAACAUCGGACCAUCUUCCCUAAGGGGCCGAACGCCACGCAGUGAAUGACUCGUGUUACCUGCUCCUCGCCUCCCGGUGUAACAUACAUGAUGCAGCCUUGGCAGCCCCCGCCCCCCGCACACACACACCUGUACCCGGAGCCCCGCCGUGGGAGAAAGGACACUCCUGGCAGCGUGUCCCCACACGGCCCUGUCGAUCGGGUGUCGAUGGAAAUCCCCCGUCAGGGAAAGGCCAUUAGAGCGACCGGGCAGCAGUCCUCUCUUAAGCCGCCACCGAUACUUUUCCCAGGAAAUACACCACCAAACACACGAUUAUUGUAUGAAAAUACACAAACUGUAUUUUAAAUAUAUACUGUUUUUUAACAAUUUGCCUGCCAUUAGCUUCUAUAGACCAACUUUAAAAUCAUUUUCGAAAGAAUCUUGAACUGAAAAUAUUCAAGAACAUCCAAAU